rnacentral:rRNA from 1 species
UACGUAGGCAGCGAGCGUUGUUCGGAAUUACUGGGCGUAAAGAGUGUGUAGGCGGUGCUCUAAGUUCGGUGUGAAAUCUCCUGGCUCAACUGGGAGGGUGCGCCGGAAACUGGAGUGCUUGAGCGUGGGAGAGGAAAGCGGAAUUCCUGGUGUAGCGGUGAAAUGCGUAGAUAUCAGGAGGAACACCGGUGGCGAAGGCGGGAUCCUGGGCCAGUACUGACGCUGAGGAGCGAAAGCGUGGGGAGCAAACAGG